rnacentral:rRNA from 1 species
UACGGAGGGUGCAAGCAUUACUCGGAUUUAUUGGGCGUAAAGGGCGCGUAGGCGGAUAGAUAAGUCAGAUGUGAAAUUCCAAGGCUCAACUUUGGAGCUGCAUUUGAAACUAUUUAUCUUGAGGGAUGGCGGAGAAAACGGAAUUCCACGUGUAGCGGUGAAAUGCGUAGAUAUGUGGAGGAACACCUGUGGCGAAAGCGGUUUUCUAGCUUAUACCUGACGCUGAGGCGCGAGAGCAAGGGGAGCAAACAGG